GUGCACCAGGCGCGAAUCUUCCACAAUGGGGAAACCCUGAUGGAGCGACGCCGCGUGCGGGAUGAAGGCCCUAUGGGUUGUAAACCGCUGUUCAGUGGAAAGAACAUCCUCCGGCUGAAUAGGUCGGAGGCCUGACGUUACCACUGCAGAAAGUCCCGGCCAACUCCGUGCCAGCAGCCGCGGUAAUACGGGGGGGACGAGCGUUGUCCGGAAUCAUUGGGCGGUAAAGGGCGGCGUAGGCGGCGAGGAAAGUCAAAUGUGAAAUCUUGCGGGCUCAACUGCAAAACUAGCGUUCGAAACUUACCUCGCUUGAGUAUGAGAGAGGUGUGCGGAAUUCCUGGUGUGGCGGUGGAAUGCGUAGAUAUCAGGAGGAACACCGGU
rnacentral:rRNA from 1 species